GCUGGGCAUGGUGGUGCAUGCCUGUAAUUCCAGCAGCUUGGGAGGCUGAGGCAGGAGGAUUGCAAGUUCAAAGUUAGCCUCAGCAAAAACAGGUACUAAGCAACCCAGUGGGACACUGUCUCUA
rnacentral:sRNA from 1 species